rnacentral:rRNA from 1 species
GCUCAGGAUGAACGCUAGCUACAGGCUUAACACAUGCAAGUCGAGGGGUAGCAGGGUAGCAAUACCGCUGACGACCGGCGCACGGGUGAGUAACACGUAUCCAACCUUCCCAUAACUCGGGGAUAGCCUUUCGAAAGAAAGAUUAAUACCCGAUAGUACUUAAGAAAGGCAUCUUUUUUAAGUUAAAGAUUUAUUGGUUAUGGAUGGGGAUGCGUUCCAUUAGAUAGUUGGUGAGGUAACGGCUCACCAAGUCUUCGAUGGAUAGGGGUUCUGAGAGGAAGGUCCCCCACAUUGGUACUGAGACACGGACCAAACUCCUACGGGAGGCAGCAGUGAGGAAUAUUGGUCAAUGGGCGAGAGCCUGAACCAGCCAA